UACGUAGGGUGCAAGCGUUAAUCGGAAUUACUGGGCGUAAAGCGUGCGCAGGCGGUUUUGUAAGUCUGUCGUGAAAUCCCCGGGCUCAACCUGGGAAUUGCGAUGGAGACUGCAAGGCUGGAAUCUGGCAGAGGGGGGGUAGAAUUCCACGUGUAGCAGUGAAAUGCGUAGAGAUGUGGAGGAACACCGAUGGCGAAGGCAGCCCCCCUGGGUCAAGAUUGACGCUCAUGCACGAAAGCGUGGGGAGCAAACAGG
rnacentral:rRNA from 1 species